rnacentral:tRNA from 1 species
GCCAGGGUGGUAAAUAAAAUACGUAGGGUUUAAAACCCUGAGAUGAAGGCCGCUUCCUUUGGCU